AUAAAUAAAGUUUUAAAAGACAGUAAUAUAAAAUCACUUUUCAGAAUUGGAGAAAAACUGAGUUUUAAGCAGGAUCUUGGUGAAAUUUCAGAACAUACACCAAGGAACAAACACUAGACUCAGCAAAAGCAAAGCUCUAAGAAACUCAGUGACUCUCUAAAUAAAAUACAAAAUAGGGCUGGGGAUGUGGUUCAGUGUUACAGUAUCCCAAAGUUCAGUUCCCGAUACUACUACUACUACCAAUAAUAAUAAUAAUUAUUCACAGAUAACUUGAGGUGGAAAAUAGACCAUACACAAAGAAAUGAGAACCAAAUUGACCAUAAGCUUUUCUAACAUUAACAGCAUUAGAUAUAAGAAGGCAGUGGAGUACAUCUUCAGAGUUAUGUGAGAAUAAUCAAAGUGUGAAAUAUGAUAUAUCAAGAACUAUGUAAUGUUUUGAACAACCAACAAUAAAAAUUAAAAAAAAGAGUUAUGUGAGAAUUUACAUUUUGCUUUGAAUUGUACCGGCUGAUUUAUCAUUUAAGUGUAAUGUCAGAAUGUAAAAGCAUUUUCAGAUGUACAGAUACAUACAGAAAAUUAACGAGCAAGAGAUCCUUUCUGCUUGUAUUAUUAAAUAUUACACUCUAUCCAGGAAGCAGAAGCAGAAUAAUAAAUACAAGAAAUAGGGUUCAAGACCAUUGGUUAGCAAUGAAAACAAAAACAUGCUAAUUCUGAAUAAGGGUCUGUUGUUUAUGAAAGAAAUUCAGAAAAGAUCAGAACAUGAGAAGGGGAUAGAACAGAGAACAGAAAUGAUUUUAGAAAAAUGAAUGUAUGUGUUUGAAAACUUCCAGUGACUGAUCACUGGAAGAUUAGCAUGUAUAAUGUCCACACAUUUAAAUAGAUAACAUAUAUAUAAAAAAAUCAGUACAACAAAGGCAAAAAAGUGAGGUUAAGAAGA
rnacentral:lncRNA from 1 species